AUUGAACGCUGGCGGCAGGCCUAACACAUGCAAGUCGAGCGGCAGCGGAAAGUAGCUUGCUACUUUGCCGGCGAGCGGCGGACGGGUGAGUAAUGUCUGGGAUACUGCCUGAUGGAGGGGGAUAACUACUGGAAACGGUAGCUAAUACCGCAUAACGUCGCAAGACCAAAGAGGGGGACCUUCGGGCCUCCUGCCAUCAGAUGGGCCCAGAUGGGAUUAGCUAGUAGGUGGGGUAACGGCUCACCUAGGCGACGAUCCCUAGCUGGUCUGAGAGGAUGACCAUCCACACUGGAACUGAGACACGGUCCAGACUCCUACGGUAGGCAGCAGUGGGGAAUAUUGCACAAUGGGCGCAAGCCUGAUGCAGCCAUGCCGCGUGUAUGAAGAAGGCCUUCGGGUUGUAAAGUACUUUCAGCGGGGAGGAAUGUGUUGAGAUUAAUAACCUCAGCAAUUGACGUUACCCGCAGAAGAAGCACCGACUAACUCCGUGCCAGCAGCCGCGGUAACAC
rnacentral:rRNA from 1 species